rnacentral:rRNA from 1 species
AUUGGACAAUGGGCCAAAGCCUGAUCCGGCCCUGCCUCGUGUGUGAAGAGGGUCUUCGUACUGUAAAUCACUUUUAGCUGCGAGCAAGUGCAGUAAGUUAACAACUUGCUUCUUUGACGUUACCGACCGACUAAGCUCCGUCUAACUGAGUGCCCGCUACCGAGGUAAUACUCAGGGUGCAAGCGUUAAUCGGAAUUACUGGGCGUUAAGCGCGCGUAGGUGGUUUGUUAAGUUGGAAGUGAAAGCCCCGGGCUCAACCUGGGAACUGCUUUCAAAACUGGCAAGCUAGAGUAUGGCAGAGGGUGGUGGAAUUUCCUGUGUAGCGGUGAAAUGCGUAGAUAUAGGAAGGAACACCAGUGGCGAAGGCGACCACCUGGGCUAAUACUGACACUGAGGUGCGAAAGCGUGGGGAGCAAACA